CCAAGGUGGGAGAGGAGCCCUCCAGGGAGGGGGCUGUCGUGGAGUGAUACAGGCUGGAUACGAAGCCAUGCUAAUACUUCUACUGUGGCCUGGCUGCAAGAGGUAUCCGGCCAGGGGGGAGUCUCCCAGGGAAAGGGGUGCGAUCCCACUGCUGGGCCAGGCUGAAGGCUGCAUUCGCAAACCGAACAGGCGGGAGCGAGCCUGCAUUGGCCAAGGGAUGGCCCUUUUCCCACUUCCUCCUCUUCCGCUGCUGCAAAGCGAAGCAGAAAGCCCCCCCGCGCUGCGUGGGCUGGGGGGUAUAUUUGUCUCGGCGAUGGUACUUAUUAGUGCUGCCCUGGCUCUGGCCCGGGUGACUCACUUCCUCCAUUACGUUGUGUGUUUUUAGCUCACAUCUCUCCCGUGCAUCUCUCUUGCCUUGGGAUCUUUCUGUUCUCCAGGCGGUCCCCGGUCGCCCGUCAAGGCACGGCACUUUCUGUGGUGCCAGACUUCUGCGGUGGGUUUUGGGGCCCAGAACGAGCCGCGAUGAGUCCGUGCUGCUUAGCAAGGUGCAGGCCCCUGCAGCCGUUCGUCUCCUGGGGAUGCUGUGCACCGGGCAGCGAGUUUGGGCAGUCUGAGGGCCCGGCGGGCUCUCCGUUUUCCACGUGAGAAGCUUUGGGGUGGCCGGAGCCGGGGGAGGCACGUGCAAAGGUGCAUGCAGGUUUCCUCGAGCGUGUGCGCGCUCCGUUCCCCGCCUGCCCCCCGCUCCCCGCAAGCUCGGACCCCUGACCCAGCGAGCGGUCCCUGUUGCAGGCAUCCCUGCACCCCUAUUGUGGAGCUGCCGCUAUUAGAUUCUCACCCUAGUUUUACGUGGGUUGCUUUUUAUCAGCCGCUUCGCUCCUCUGUUUUGCUUCAGAGAUUUAUUAGCUUUUCCCUUUCCGAAGAGGGAUUAUUUUCUCAACGCCUUCAGGGAACGACCGGUCUUUGGACUGCAAAUAAACCCAGCGCAGCUUAAAAUAAUUGUUCACGUGAAACCUGCUCGGAGCCACUUCCCCUCGUGCUUGAUCGGUCUCUGCAGCGCAGCCGGGCAGCGGGGAGGUCGGCCACCACCGAGGCCUCCCACCAAAGCCCUUGACAAAUGAUUUUGCCAUUUCGUGGACCGGGAAGAGACAAUCAUUAACUCCCACACUUGGCUUCUGGAAAGGUUACAGCUUAAUUGGUCGGAUCGCCAGCCAUAAAUCAAGCAAUUGAAGGGUCAAGAGAGACACGGAGAAGUUCUUACGAGGCAGCUGGAGGGCUUUCCUUGGGAAGAGCCAUCCAAAUGAGCCCACGGAAACUCGGGGAGGGGAAGGGAAGGGAAGGGAAGGGAAGGGAAGGGUGGACCUGAGCUCUUCAGAGCAGAGCUGCGUCUCUCCGGGCUGUGGAAAUGCUGGGCUCACGUCCUGCCAGGAGUCGCAAUGUGCAUUGUGGAAAGAAAUGCAGGAUUCGGUGGUGUUUGUUCCAAGAGAAGUGAUGAAUUGAGGGGUUCGUCUGUCGGUGGAGAGCCCCAGACUCACCGCACGCACCUCUCCUCCCUUCCCCUGGACAAGGAACAAGGAGUUAAUGGGAGAGGACGUCUCUUCCCAAGACAGGAGCCCGCUGGAUUUUCCUUGGUAGAGGAACAAACUCCCAGCCAAAAUACAGAUUUGUUUUCACCAGACAAAUGUCAGCUAAGUUUCUACUCAGCUCAGCGCACACCCAAGAAGGACGGGGACUGGCCUCUUGUCCUGCUUUCCAAGGGGGGUGCAAGACAGAUUGCCUUCCUGUUAGACUCAGUCUCUAGCCUCCCUCCAGCGCACACGGGUAAUCACCACCAUUGCCCGCGUGUCUUCAAGGAGAAUAUGUUACCCCGCGAGCCUCCUCGUAGCUCUAUUCAGACAAUCAGUCCUGGGGAACGGCUGCAAUCUAGCGCAGCUGAAUCAUCUCUAGCAGCCUUUCUAUUAGUGACAAACUACCUGCGAUGGGAGACUCAGGCCCCGUCCAUGCAUUACAGGUGUGACAAGCACGAGGGGCACCUUUCCUCCUGCCACAUGCAGCUUCAGGGCUGGACCGAAUCCUCUUGCGCGUCGGGACAGCACGGCCUCAUGGCAGCGCCGUGACGGAGGAGGGAAGGAAGAGAUGAGCAUCUGUGGGCUCAAGACUGCACAGCAAUUAGCCAUUAGCGAGGGGGUGACGACGGCGACGGCGAUGUCGCCGUCUCAGGGUUGACUGGAGACCUGGCACCGCUGACUGCGCCCCGUGCAGUGAACAACCAGCUGUGGUUGUCCAGAGAAGAGCCCGGUCCGAGCGGCUGGGCACCCAGCCCAGGGCCGGCCUUCCAAGCGCGGCCGCAUCUGGUCUUAAUUAAGUUCACCUUCCCAUGCCCGUGCUCCAAAGGAAGGCGUGCUCGUUCCUAGCCUCCACCACCCGCCCUGACCCCGCUGUGCCUGUUUGCCAGCGGCUGCGGUCCAGGCAGGACCAUGCACACGUUGUGCGUCUAGAAAGGCAGGCGCAGGCUGCAGCGGGCUACCGCCCCGUCCCUCGUAUCCCAGCGCCGGCUGGGAGCAAAAGCGCUGGUAGCCAGGGGUGGGGAGUGGAUCUGGGCGGGCUUCGGUGCUGUUGUCACUACACAUCGGAAAGCUGGCGCUAGCACUCCCGGGUUCAAGGGCGAGAGUGGAGCGAAGGCACUGCUUUGCGAGGAAAGGAAGGCUCCUAGCACUGCCUCUGGGUCCUCCAGCGUUGUCGCUGGGGCCUGGGGACUGCUGUGCCCCUGAACCCCUUGCAUGUGGCAUGCUGGGCUGGGAGAACAGCUAUGCUUUCGCACACCUAGGAGAGGGGCAGGGACUCAGCCCUCGUACGUACGGAUCUGCGGCCACGGGUCCAUGCACCGUAGGGCUAGCACGGGUCAGAUGCAGCAGGCUUGGGGCUGGCAUCAUGUCCAGCUGCCUUGAACUCUCCAGCCUGGAUGCUCCAAAGCCUGCAGGGCUGGACGUGGUACGAGUUGAACCCAUGCCUACAAAGGCAUCGAGAGAGGCCUGCUCCCCCCUGCCCACACAUCGGUCCCUCUGACCCAGACGCUCCGGAUUCAAGUUGGGGGACGGACACACGUGUGGAGCCCGCACCUCUUCGUUCCCAUGCUCCUCCAGCUGGGUCUGGCUCCCCACGCCAGCCGGGCACGACCCGCUCCUGUUCUCGUGCAGCCGUGUGUGUGUGUGUGGAGGUGGGGUGCUCUCCCAGGUGCUCACAAGUGUUAUUGUGCAUCCAGGUGGGGAGCAGGCAGGUGCUGUGCUCAUGUAGGACGAGGUCUGGAAGGAAUCGGUCUUGCCGGGAGUGCCUACUCCAAGUGGCUAACGCCUUCUCCACCCCAGGCCCAACACAGAGCCCAUCAUCUGCCGGAGAGGAAAUUGCAGGAGAUUUACUGAAGGCAAGGAUUGCGACGAGGUUGGAAGCUGCAUCUUCCAGAAGAGAGCAGAGCGCUGGCUGCGUCCAGGCCCUUCUCUGAGCCAGGUGGGCAGUGCUGGGAGCCCAGCUUAUAUUUGCCCAAGAGACCAGCGCGUCCCUAGAGCACCCAGUUCUCCAUGGAAAGGGCUCUCGGGAAGCUGAAGACAGACAAUAGCCAGCAGACAGGGGCUGUUCUAGGAAGCAAAGGAAAAUUCACUACAAAAGGGUAUUUGAAAACCUUUUGUGGCUCAUUUAGACACAAGACCGUGAGACGGCAGGACCGUGAAGGGCCAGAGCCCGGGCUGACACGGGCAGGGACGCUCUGCAAGCCGAGUCCUCAUCACCAGCAGAGCCAGCUCCACGUUUCGCUCUGCUUUGGGUUUCUUUUCAUCCCUUUCUUUAAGAGCCAUUUUUAUACUCAGGGCAGUUUAUGAAUGACCAUGGAGAGACUUCCACUUUGUGAGCCAAAACCUUGCCGUGGUUUCAAAAUGCUUUCCCCAGGUUUUCUCCCUAACAGCUGCAAUUACUGGCCACGUUGGACCCAAACUCCCCAGGGGGUUCAGUUCCUUCCUCCAAAUUUGCCAUUUGUGGUGAGAUUUUUAUUCCCAGGAAAAGGCAGCUCACCCCGCUCUAGUCCCGGGAUCGCCCUUGCCCUGGGAGGGUGCUCGCGGCGAUGACGCACUCAGCUCUUUAGACGAUGCAAGUACCCAGCGGGUGCUGCCUUCUGAGUCACCCGGCGGCUUGCUCAAUCCCCCGGAUCAGACCGCGCCAGCAUCAGUCACCGAGCGCUAGAGACGGGCCCAGCCUUGGGCUGAACUUCCCUAGAGUUCAGUAGACUCCCCACUUCCUCCAAGGACUGAGCGGCAGAGCAACUCGCUGCUUGGGAAAUCAAGAAAUGAAUGAGGUCAGGGGACGGCUGGGUAUAUCCCUUGUUCGUUUUGCCAUGGCAGCGCUAGACAGGUGCUUCCGGCGUGCUCCGGCUCUGCUCGGGCACCUCCGCUGCUGGCACGGCGCCCGGGCGCUGAUGGUAGAAUUGCUGCCCAGAGAGCAAGCUCUGGGGAUCGGGCUUUCAAUCAGCAGAGCAGCAGUGGCGUGCACCCAGGGGCAGCCAGGGCACUGACCCUUGUGCACAGGGCCUCUUCACCACCUCCACACGCUUGUAGGAACAACCUUUCUUCUGGACCCUCUGUGCAUUUUCCCUCUGGGUCAGCCGUCCAAGUGCUUUUUCACUGCAGGGGACACAGUGGGUGCGUCUACACGUGCGCCGUUACUGCUCAGCACGGGCGCGCAUCUACACGUGCACACCCACCAUGUGCAGUAAAUAUGGCGACUGCGCUGAGCUGCAUCAGGCAGGUAUCAAAUUUACCCCCGAUUAUUUACUGCGCAGUAACGCACGUGUAGAUGCAUUGUUGUGCCUUAACGCUGUGCGUGUGAGGACUGACUUGGGAUUCAUUUUAGUCCCAAAUCAGCUCACCCACAGCGUUGAUGCACUUUAACACCUGCACAUUCCCACUGACUGGGCAGGAAAUUGAAGCCGGCGUCAAUGCACGUGUAGACGUGCCCCGUUAGAGCAUUCCCGAGCAGGCAGACCUUUAAACACCAAUGGACCCAAUUCUCUUUUGCACGUGGGCCCCUUACACUCUUCUGAGCGUGCAGAGAAGCACUGAGGGGCAGAACCAGGCCAGGCUUUCAUUGGGGAAGCACAAACUGCUGAGGGUGUGAGCGAGCAGGAGGCUAGCGCAGGCCGGCCUGCCCUGGGCAUUGCAGCUGCUCGGAACGUGCCCGCCCUGGGAUGUUUGAGCACGUCUUCCCACAGAGCACAGGGGCUGGAAGUAAGGCAAACGCCGCGUGCAGACCUCUGCGGCCCCCUACCGAACGCGUCUGGAUGCCAGGACCCGUCCCCCAAGGGUCAGGACCGUGCCGAUCUCAGGGUUGCCUUUGUCUCUAACUGGAAGCUGCUUUGGGCGAGCGAUUCCCCAGGACACUGAAACCAAGUGGGCGAGGGCCCCGCGCGGCUCAAGGUGCUGGGAAGGGGCAGGGGUUUCACACCCUCUCUCCAAUGCAGCCAAGGUGCCGAUGCGAACAGCAAGGUGGUGCUUGAAGUCCGACCCGUGCUACAGUUCGCUCGUCUGUUGGCUGUUUCGGCGAAGAGAUGAAGGGGUGAGCGGGCCAUGCCCGAGCAGCAACGUGUCUCCCUCGAACAGCCUGGAUGUCCACCAUCGGGAAGAGGGCAGGGAAAACUGCACCCCCGGUCUGUCACUAGACCAAAGGUAUCGCUCCUCAGUCCUGCAAAGCUUCCGCAAGCACCUCCUUGACCCAAACCUGGGCCGCUGCAGCUAGCGGCUCAGGCGUUUUGCCAGCUGGCUUGUACUAGACUGUGUGAAAUCAGGCUUUGGCUGACAUUGAGCAGACCCCGGCUCACUGGUGUGGGAUGCCUCUCAGCUACUCAAGUGCUUUAGAAACCUCAUAAAGCCCAGCAAGCCUUUUACUACGCAGCGUGCUUCCAAGGGCACUGCCGCAACCUCGCUAUUGUUGGCGUGCUCUGCCAGGGAAGCAGGCCCCGCAGCAAGCAGCAAGCACGACACGACCUGCAGAAAUGCAAGGAGAGAAAUGAGUGACAGCAUCCAGCCGGCAAACAGAGCAAGCCAGCAUCGCCCUGCCCUGGAAAGCCAGAUCCCAGGGCUCGUGACCCUGCGGGAGCUGCCGUUGCAAACACUGCCUACCUGGGAUUGAGGUGGCACAGGGGAUGCCAGGGCCCCGAGGAGAAGCAGCACAGGAGCGGUAGCAGGGAAAAGCAAACAUGCACGUGGAUGAUAGCAGGGCAGUCACUGUAGAUUAUAUGGGUGCAGUCCAUCGCACGGGGCACGAGGACACAGUGACUUGGGGCUGACAACAGGUGCCUUGUACUCUCAGUAGGAAGAGCAGGGCCUGGGCUCCUUACCCCAAAUGACCUCCUUUCCAUUAGGACAGCUGGCAGCGAGGGCCCUGGUCCCUUGCAAGGCGCUGGGAUCCUGGACCCGGCGCGCACUGCUCAGGGACGUCCAGGUCUGCAGCAAGAUGGGGGCUCUGUGGCACGUGAGUGUGUUUGCAAGUGGGGAAAUGUGCGUUCACGUUUAUUUUUGUAUUAGUAGUGUGUGUGUGAGCGUGCACAUGCAUGUGUGUGUGUGUGUGUGCACAGGCUGACCUUCUCCUGCAUAAGCCUCAUUUCUCUGACUGCAGAUCCCUUCCCUCCUGCAGUCCUGAUGGCUCGUAGCCUCCGUACAGAUCAGCGCUUGGCCAGGCUGCUCGCUGUUCUCGGCGGCAGGUUUUCGAGAUGGGCCCAAGCAGCAGAGCUCCGAUCCAGACCUCACUAUACAGCGAGGGGUGAAUGCUGGGGUCUGGGGGCAGGCGGUAUAAUUUGGACCUGCAUGCGAGACUCCCCACAGCAUGCAGCAAUGUGCAAGGGUUAGAUACAGCAAUGUGCUUAGAUCAGUAUAUAAUGGGUGCGUGCAGUGCCUUUUGCAAAGGAGCUUCAGAAAACUGCAUACUUACAACCCAGGUAAAGCCAGUCAACCCCGGCAGGCACCCUUUUCCAUUCAGGAGCUGGGAUAGAUUCAACUUGCCCCGUAAAGUAAGAAGGCAACGUCGUAAGGGCAACCAGAACCGGGCUCUGCCCUCCAGGCCAUCCCAGGCGGUGUGUGCAGGGCGCGCGCGCACCCCACGCAGCCACGGGAAACGCCAGGAAAAAGCAAAGCCCAAGAAAAAUCUUCCUGGAGCACCGUUGUUAUUAUUCUUAUAAACAAGUAAAGUACUUUAAAAUCAAUAUGGAAUUUCACUCGGAGCCUCAAGGGAGAUUUCAUCUCCUGAAUUACACGAUCGGAUAAACUAGCCCCCAGUCCACCUGCCAUCUCUGGUAUCAGCGGCUAUCUCUUCAAAGCCAGGCUGAAAGACCCGCAGAAUUAAUUAGAAUAAUCAAUCCUAAAAAUGACAGAGGUAUUGAUUAGCACGCUCGUCCCUUCCCUGCUGAGCAGUGCCGUGAGUCUGGCAGGUUUAUCAAGGUGAUAAAAAGCAAAUGGCUAGAGAUGGAAGAUGCUUAUCCAAUGACACAGUGUGACAGCCUAACAUCCAGCAGCUUUUAUAUUCAGAGAGGGUCUUGUUCUAACACUUUUAUAUUAUGUUAUUUUCAGGAAUCAUCAUAGCCUUCCUCUUGCUCUGAUUUAUUUUAUGCAUCAGCUAGUUUUUAAUGCUUGUUGAUGCCUUAGUUUUCGGAAAGAGAAGUAUAUGGGCGGGUGGGUGGGUGGGUGGAUGGGUGAAUAUUCAAUUCAAAUGUAAAAGGGGAAGUCACUUGUGCACAAGUCCCUUGCAACCCGUCUGUUCGAUCAAGACGGCUAGUUCCUGGUACCUCCCAGGACACCGGGAUUCAAAAUCUUUCCCCCCGCCCCGGCAGCCUGCUCCAAACACCCUCACCGAGCAUCCGACCAUUUGCUUGGCGCGCAAGGACACCGUUUCCCUGGAAAGGUCCCACUGAUGGGCCUGGAACGUCCUUUUCACCACUGGCCUUCGCACACAAGCUUUGCGCGUGCAACAGGCACUGAUGACCGGGGCUCACUGUCCACAUACGUACGUUCAAAGCUGGCCAGCUACCCCCCUCUUCACAUUUUGGCUCUGGUAUAAGCUGAACUGCAAAUCUACCCAGAUGGCUAAACGGCCAAACCUUGUGUCCUGCAGUGACACCAAUGGCAAGUCCAGCCGAUGCAAAGUCGCAGGCCUGGACUCUGCACCUGGACAGGAUGGGAGUUAUCUGACACUGUACAUGGGAGCAUGAGAUCGCCUCGCCUCCAGUUAGGAAAUGGCCUGAGACUGAUCCCAGCCAUGCACGCGGGAGUGGCCAAUGUGCAACUGGGGGGGUAACGAGGUGGAGGAAGGAAAUAGAGCAGCAGAAUUAUUUACGGACGACUUCAGGAUUUGGUGAUAGGAUGCGAACAAGACUCACAGGCUGCAAGAUGAACCCAACCUGCCGCAGGCAGCCGGGCCCCCUGCCAGCC